GAUGAACGCUGGCGGCGUGCCUAAUACAUGCAAGUCGAGCGAACAGACGAGGAGCUUGCUCCUCUGACGUUAGCGGCGGACGGGUGAGUAACACGUGGAUAACCUACCUAUAAGACUGGGAUAACUUCGGGAAACCGGAGCUAAUACCGGAUAAUAUAUUGAACCGCAUGGUUCAAUAGUGAAAGACGGUUUUGCUGUCACUUAUAGAUGGAUCCGCGCCGCAUUAGCUAGUUGGUAAGGUAACGGCUUACCAAGGCAACGAUGCGUAGCCGACCUGAGAGGGGGAUCGGCCACACUGGAACUGAGACACGGUCCAGACUCCUACGGGAGGCAGCAGUAGGGAAUCUUCCGCAAUGGGCGAAAGCCUGACGGAGCAACGCCGCGUGAGUGAUGAAGGUCUUCGGAUCGUAAAACUCUGUUAUUAGGGAAGAACAAAUGUGUAAGUAACUAUGCACGUCUGGACGGUACCUAAUCAGAAAGCCACGGCUAACUACGUG
rnacentral:rRNA from 1 species